AGUGAACGCUGGCGGUAGGCCUAACACAUGCAAGUCGAACGGCAGCACAGGAGAGCUUGCUCUCUGGGUGGCGAGUGGCGGACGGGUGAGGAAUACAUCGGAAUCUACUUUUUCGUGGGGGAUAACGUAGGGAAACCUACGCUAAUACCGCAUACGACCUACGGGUGAAAGCAGGGGAUCUUCGGACCUUGCGCGAUUGAAUGAGCCGAUGUCGGAUUAGCUAGUUGGCGGGGUAAAGGCCCACCAAGGCGACGAUCCGUAGCUGGUCUGAGAGGAUGAUCAGCCACACUGGAACUGAGACACGGUCCAGACUCCUACGGGAGGCAGCAGUGGGGAAUAUUGGACAAUGGGCGCAAGCCUGAUCCAGCCAUACCACGUGGGUGAAGAAGGCCUUCGGGUUGUAAAGCCCUUUUGUUGGGAAAGAAAUCCAGCUGGUUAAUACCCGGUUGGGAUGACGGUACCCAAAGAAUAAGCACCGGCUAACUUCGUGCCAGCCGCCGCAGUAA
rnacentral:rRNA from 1 species